GUGCCAGCAGCCGCGGUAAUACAGAGGUCUCAAGCGUUGUUCGGAUUCAUUGGGCGUAAAGGGUGCGUAGGUGGCAUGGUAAGUCGGAUGUGAAAUCCCGGGGCUCAACCCCGGAACUGCAUUCGAUACUGCUGCGCUAGAGUACUGGAGAGGAGAUUGGAAUUUACGGUGUAGCAGUGAAAUGCGUAGAUAUCGUAAGGAAGACCAGUGGCGAAGGCGGAUCUCUGGACAGUUACUGACACUGAGGCACGAAGGCCAGGGGAGCAAACGGGAUUAGAAACCCUCGUAGUCC
rnacentral:rRNA from 1 species